GUGGGGAAUAUUGGACAAUGGGCGAAAGCCUGAUCCAGCCAUGCCGCGUGUGUGAAGAAGGUCUUCGGAUUGUAAAGCACUUUAAGUUGGGAGGAAGGGCAGUAAGUUAAUACCUUGCUGUUUUGACGUUACCGACAGAAUAAGCACCGGCUAACUUCGUGCCAGCAGCCGCGGUAAUACGAAGGGUGCACGCGUUAAUCGGAAUUACUGGGCGUAAAGCGCGCGUAGGUGGUUUUGUAAGUUGGAGGUGAAAUCCCCGGGCUCAAGCUGGGAAAUGCCUCCAAAACUGCAUGACUAGAGUACGGUAGAGGGUAGUGGAAUUGCCUGUGUAGCGGUGAAAUGCGUAGAUAUAGGAAGGAACACCAGUGGCGAAGGCGACUACCUGGACUGAUACUGACACUGAGGUGCGAAAGCGUGGGGAGCAAACAGGAUUAGAAACCCCGGUAGUCC
rnacentral:rRNA from 1 species